GCCUGCAUGGUCUAGUAUAAGCAAUCAUACUGUGAAACUGCGAAUGGCUCAUUAAAUCAGUUAUCGUUUAUUUGAUAGUACCUUUACCUGGAUAACCGUGGUAAUUCUAGAGCUAAUACAUGCUAAAAACCCCGACUUCGGAAGGGGUGUAUUUAUUAGAUAAAAAACCAAUGCCCUCUGGGCUCCUUGGUGAUUCAUAAUAACUUAACGAAUCGCAUGGCCUUGCGCCGGCGAUGGUUCAUUCAAAUUUCUGCCCUAUCAACUUUCGAUGGUAAGAUAGAGGCUUACCAUGGUAUUAACGGGUAACGGAGAAUAAGGGUUCGGUUCCGGAGAGGGAGCCUGAGAAACGGCUACCACAUCCAAGGAAGGCAGCAGGCGCGCAAAUUACCCAAUGCUAAUUCAGCGAGGUAGUGACAAUAAAUACUGAUACGGGGCUCUUUCGGGUCUCGUAAUUGGAAUGAGUACAAUCUAAAUCCCUUAACGAGGAACAAUUGGAGGGCAAGUCUGGUGCCAGCAGCCGCGGUAAUUCCAGCUCCAAUAGCGUAUAUUAAAGUUGUUGCCGUUAAAAAGCUCGUAGUUGAACCUUGGACCUGGCUGAUCUGUCCUCCUCAUCGAGCGCACGGAUUCGGUCGGGUCUUUCCUUCUGGGGAACCCGAUGCCCUUUACUGGGUGUCGUGGGGAACCAGGACUUUUACCUUGAAAAAAUUAGAGUGUUCAAAGCAGGCCUUUGCUCGAAUACAUUAGCAUGGAAUAAUGAAAUAGGAUAGCGUUUCUAUUUUGUUGGUUUCUAGGACCGCUGUAAUGAUUAAUAGGGAUAGUCGGGGGCGUCAGUAUUCAAUUGUCAGAGGUGAAAUUCUUGGAUUUAUUGAAGACUAACUACUGCGAAAGCAUUCGCCAAGGAUGUUUUCAUUAAUCAGUGAACGAAAGUUAGGGGAUCGAAGACGAUCAGAUACCGUCGUAGUCUUAACCAUAAACUAUGCCGACUAGGGAUCGGACGGUGGUUUUUUUAUGCCCCGUUCGGCACCUUACGAGAAAUCAAAGUUUUUGGGCUCGGGGGGAGU
rnacentral:rRNA from 1 species